AUUGAACGCUGGCGGCAGGCUUAACACAUGCACGUCGAACGAGUGGCGGACGGGGGAGUAAUGCUUGGGAAUCUAGCUUAUGGAGGGGGAUAACUAAGGGAAACUGUAGCUAAUACCGCGUACCAUAGGAUGAGCCCAAGGGGGAUUAGGUAGUUGGUGAGGUAAAGGCGCACCAAGCCGACGAUCUCUAGCUGGUCUGAGAGGAGGACCAGCCACACUGGGACUGAGACACGGCCCAGACUCCUCCGGGAGGCAGCAGUGGGGAAUAUUGCGCAAUGGGGGCAACCUGACGCAGCCAUGCCGCGUGAAUGAAGAAGGCCUUCGGGUUGUAAAGUUCUUUCGGUAGCGAGGCGUUAACUAAAGAAGAAGCACCGGCUAACUCCGUGCCAGCAGCCGCGGUAAUUC
rnacentral:rRNA from 1 species